CCGAGGGACAGCCCUUCGGGGCCCGCCUCCCUCUGGCGGAGUCGCCCUCGGGAGGUAUACCAAACUCAUGUUGUUUUGAUUUCUGUCUGAACGUGAAACUAUAACAGUUAAAACUUUCAACAACGGAUCUCUUGGUUCUCGCAUCGAUGAAGAACGCAGCGAAAUGCGAUAAGUAGUGUGAAUUGCAGAAUUCAGUGAAUCAUCGAAUCUUUGAACGCACAUUGCGCCCUCUGGUAUUCCGGGGGGCAUGCCUGUUCGAGCGUCAUCAAACAAGCCUCAAGCUAUUUUUGCUUGGUAUUGGAGGUGGACGGGAUAACCGCCCCCUCUCAAAGCGAUCUGGCGGAAAGCCUUGUCGGCCCAGGCGUAGUAAUAAUCUUUCUCGUUUAGGUCGGCGGUGGUGUUCUUGCCGUACAACCCCCAAUCUACCAAUAGUUUGACCUCGGAUCAGGUAGGGAUACCCGCUGAACUUAA
rnacentral:rRNA from 1 species